rnacentral:rRNA from 1 species
GCUUGUCUCAAAGAUUAAGCCAUGCAUGUCUAAGUACAAGCCUCAGUAAGGUGAAACCGCGAAUGGCUCAUUAAAUCAGCUAUUGUUUAUUUGAUAGUACCUCACUACUUGGAUAACCGUAGUAAUUCUAGAGCUAAUACAUGCGAAAAGACGCGACUCACGAAGCGUUGUAUUUAUUAGAUACAAAACCAAUGCGGGGCAACCCGGUAUAAGGUGAUUCAUAAUAACUUUGCGAAUCGCAUGGCCUUGUGCCGGCGAUGAAUCAUUCAAAUUUCUGCCCUAUCAACUUUCGAUGGUAAGGUAUUGGCUUACCAUGGUCGCAACGGGUAACGGGGAAUAAGGGUUCGAUUCCGGAGAGGGAGCCUGAGAAAUGGCUACCACAUCCAAGGAAGGCAGCAGGUUG